rnacentral:tRNA from 1 species
UGGGGGAUCGUCCAGGGGCAGGACAUGAGACUCUGGCUCUCACUACGGGGGUUCGAAUCCUCCUCCCCCAGCCA